GCAAGUGUCAACACCGACGGCUUCUCGCAUUUUUGAUUUAAAAUGAGGACAAAACAAGAUGACUGACGUCAUGAAGCUUCUGCGGAAGGAACACGCCGCUGAGAACAACGUCACAUGCGGCCAGAUUGCUUAUCAGCACGUUUGUGACUGACCUCAAGUGGCGGUACUUCGCCACGCAUAUUAUCACCAACACGUUGCUCACUAUGGCGAACGUUAACACCACGCUGACACCAGUGAAAUAAAAUAUCAAAAGAAUUUCCAUGUAAACGAAUUCCAAAAAUUCUUGAACAAACGACAAUUCUUACAGAUUUAUAAAAAGUGCUUUUUAUUGAAAAAAAUAAAAAAUAUUCCAGGA